UGAAGCUUAAAUGAUUUCUUCGGAAUGAACUUAAGUGGAUUAGUGGCGGACGGGUGAGUAACGCGUGAGUAACCUGCCUUACACAAGGGGAUAGCCGUUGGAAACGACGAAUAAUACCCUAUGAAACUAUCACUUCGCAUGAAGCGAUAGUCAAAGUGUUAGCGGUGUAAGAUGGACUUGCGUCUGAUUAGCUAGUUGGUGAGAAAAAAGCCCACCAAGGCAACGAUCAGUAGCCGGCUUGAGAGAGUGUACGGCCACAUUGGGACUGAGACACGGCCCAGACUCCUACGGGAGGCAGCAGUGGGGAAUUUUGCACAAUGGGGGAAACCCUGAUGCAGCGACGCCGCGUGAUUUAGAAGGCCUUCGGGUUGUAAAAAUCUUUUGUAUAGGAAGAAAAUGACAGUACUAUACGAAUAAGGUCCGGCUAAUUACGUGCCAGCAGCCGCGGUAAUACGUAAGGUCCGAGCGUUGUCCGGAAUCAUUGGGCGUAAAGGGUACGUAGGC
rnacentral:rRNA from 1 species